rnacentral:rRNA from 1 species
CGUAGGGACCAAGCGUUGUUCGGAUUUACUGGGCGUAAAGGGCGCGUAGGCGGCUUAACAAGUCACUUGUGAAAUCUCCGGGCUUAACUCGGAACGGCCAAGUGAAACUGUCAAGCUAGAGUGCAGAAGGGGCAAUCGGAAUUCUUGGUGUAGCGGUGAAAUGCGUAGAUAUCAAGAGGAACACCUGAGGUGAAGACGGGUUGCUGGGCUGACACUGACGCUGAGGCGCGAAAGCCAGGGGAGCAAACGGGAUUAGAUACCCCGGUAGUCCUGGCCCUAAACGAUGAAUACUUGGUGUCUGGAGUUAUAUGUGCUCCGGGUGCCGUCGCUAACGUUUUUAGUAUUCCGCCUGGGGAGUACGCUCGCAAGAGUG